CCCUGGGUGGUGCAAAUGGUUAACAAGUUCAGCUGCUAACUAAAAGGUUGGUGGUUCAAGUCCACCCAAAGGCA
rfam:Loxodonta africana unplaced genomic scaffold scaffold_25, whole genome shotgun sequence.